rnacentral:rRNA from 1 species
ACGCACGCUGGCGGCGUGCUUAACACAUGCAAGUCGCACGGAAAGGCCCUGCUUGCAGGGUACUCGAGUGGCGAACGGGUGAGUAACACGUGGGUGAUCUGCCCUGCACUUCGGGAUAAGCCUGGGAAACUGGGUCUAAUACCGGAUAGGAGCCAUUUUUAGUGUGAUGGUUGGAAAGUUUUUUCGGUGUAGGAUGAGCUCGCGGCCUAUCAGCUUGUUGGUGGGGUAAUGGCCUACCAAGGCGGCGACGGGUAGCCGGCCUGAGAGGGUGGACGGCCACAUUGGGACUGAGAUACGGCCCAGACUCCUACGGGAGGCAGCAGUGGGGAAUAUUGCACAAUGGGCGCAAGCCUGAUGCAGCGACGCCGCGUGGGGGAUGACGGCCUUCGGGUUGUAAACUCCUUUCGCUAGGGACGAAGCUUUUUGUGACGGUACCUAGAUAAGAAGCACCGGCUAACUACGUG